UUUAAAUGUUAAUUUUACUUACCUGGGUAUUAAUAGAUAAGGUCUUUAAACCCAAAGAAUUUGGCGGUAUCUCACUCCAUUCAGAGGAACCUAUCCCGUAAUUGAUAGUACACGAUUAACUUUACUUAAUUUAUUGGUUUGUAUAUCUCCGUUAUCAGAAAAUCUUUUUGGAGUUAUAAUUUUCUUGAUCUAUAAUUAAAGAUUAUUUCAGGUCAAGGUGCAGCUUAUAAUUAAGUGGAGAUGGGUUACAAUAAAUUUUUGUUUAUUAUGGAAUUAAUAAUGAAAUAUUUAAUGAAGGUGGAUUUGAUAGUAAUUUGAUUUAUUUAAUUUAAUUGAUAUUGGCUCUGAGGUGUGU
rnacentral:rRNA from 1 species